UGUAUAUAAAAUACAAAUUUAAGAGUACGGCAACACGGAUACCUGGAUAUAUCAGGUGCCUAGAAAGCGGUUGCAUCUCCUGUCGACCGGUCACACCCGCUAUGAGCCCUAUAUCUUGAUCAGGUUAACGGAGCAAUCCGUAGUCAAAAUCAGUAUAUAUAAAGAACGGCCUAACAAUUGGUAUGAAACACGUCCGACAGCAUUUGACUCAUUGACAAGUUGUAUUGACAAAUUAGAUCAUUAUAACGACCAUAGAAUUUGGGAAAUGCUAAAAUUAAACGACUUUUGAAACCCAUGUAACAUCCAUUUAUCAUACGCAGAACAAGAUUUUGCUUAUCGAACCAGCUAUUAAAAGGCAUAAACACCACGUACAAGUGAUAAUGGAAUACUGCUAGAUAAACAUAGGGAGUUGGCGGUGGAAGCUGAAGUCGGGAUUAAGUCUGCCAUGAAGUUAAACUGCUAGUUUACUGUUAACAUCCAUAUUCAAUAAAAAAAAAAAUCUAAGCAUGAAGCAGAUUUAGAAGAUUCUUCAGUGUCCUUUAUUUCGAGUUUAGCGGGGCACACCGAACCGACAAUAAGUGUCAGUAUAUAAAAACAUCUGUUGUCUUUAUAGUAUUUAUGAGAUCGCUCACUGUUUGUUAUCUUCAGCUUUUCACUGUACAUAGUUUUGAUAGUUAUAUUAAGUAGUAGCGGUCGAAUUUGACGCUUGUGUCAAUACGUUUUCUUGUAUUAAUACAUGUUCAUGUAUUGCAACACUCAAUCUACAGAGCAUAGGGUUAUCUCAGUAUCCCGUAUUACGCCGCAAACUAUUAAGCGAUAAAGUAUACAAGUAGAGAUAGAAAAUAUCCGGAAAGUGAAAUAAUGGAUUUACAAUUGAGCACUUGGUCUCAUAUUAAUUUAUCAACAGUGGCUAUUCCUAGAAGUUUGGUGUAUUCCGACACAUGUAUACAAUAAUCGAGGCAAGGUGGAGGAAAAGCACACAGUAUUUCAGAAAUAAAGUGGUAAUCAUUUCUCCAUCGUUUGUCUAAUUUUCCGCACAGUGUCUUUGACUUUCUCAAUGGUAAAAAUACGAUCACAAUAAAUCUUUUUUCUCUAAGGCAGCGAACGAUCAUAUGUUAAGAAUCAGGGAUAUUGAAAUUCCCUUAACUCUCCUAAUGUCAGUAACACAAAAAGAAAAGAACUCGCAUGGGGCUGACAUUAAAUGAUAUAUUCCUGGAUAUUUCCUUCACCGUCAAGAACAAAGAGACAAAAACUUAUUCUAACUAUGUAAAGCACUAAAAUGACCAAGAAUACGAACAAUCAAAAGUAGCAAAUUCUCGGGACGAUCCGUCUUCUCGUCAUGAUUAUGAAAAAGAAGUUAAAUACGUGUGGAAAACAAAACAAUGCAAAAUAUAGUACUACUUCUACAAUAAACUGCAUGAAUUUGUUGUUUGCUGUUUUAUGUUUCAUCGAGAAUAUUUCAUUCCGUGACGUCACCAGCUGUAGAUGAUGUACCACAAACUUUGAUCUAUGCUUGGCGCGUACGACCGUAGCUUCUGAUCGUUCCAAUGUCUACCGUUACACUGGACCUCCCACCUAUAUGUCGUAUCCGAGAGACUCGUGGUUUGCACUUGUAAUGCCGGCUGCAUUGCGAAGCAAGAGUCACAACCUCUGUUGAAUGUCUUAGGUUUACGGCGGCGCUGGGAUCGAGAAUUGAACCCAGGAACUCCCAGUGGCAAAGCGAAUAAUAGGAAAUCAAUAUAAAUGUACUGAAAUUUGAUUUGAUAUGCAAAUCACAAAAAGGUAUUAAGUUAAAGAAACAUUAUAUUGAUUGAUUGUAUAUUGUUUAACGUCCCUAUUGAAAAUUGUCUAUAGUCAUCGCUUCCAGCAGGGAGGGUUCUUUAACGUGCCACACCUGCAAAAUGAAAUUUCAAUGGAGUUUUUUGUGUUUAGAUUUUGAAUUGUGGAGGCUUACUGGAGUGGCAUUGUUGAUUAUCUUUAGAUUCAUAAGCUUUAAGUUAUCAUAGAAAAUUAGCUUGAACUUAAAAAUACAUGUAUUCAGUUGCAAAAUAAUGUCUAACAGAUUGUAAGAAACUGUUAUUUCAAUAAUUAAUUGAUAAUUAUUUUUUUAUAUUUCACAAGUUCAGUACCGUGCUGAAAUAAAUGCGAAUACUGCAUUACUGCACUUUCUCAUAUUAAAAGGAAAUCUUAUGGUAUCAGCAACCUCUAAUACCGAGCAAGAAGAUUCCACCAUGAAUCUUCAACAACUUCCAGAACAGGAUAAUACGAUUAAUGAACAAUGAAUUCAUAUGAAGGAAACGAUGAAACCGUUGAAAAGAUAUUAGGAAUGAGAAGGGGAAAAAAAGAAAUCUACCAAUUGUCUCACUGCUGAAACAUACAACGCAAUUGAUGGAAGAAGUAUAAAAGAACAAGCUCAGCGAAAACUAGAACAAUGGAAUAAAAGAUAGCAAACUAAAAGAAAGAGAUAGAGUCGAUAAAAGGAAAUUUAACAUAGAGACGACUUACAGUACAUGGAAGAAGACGCAGAGAAAACCGUAUUAACAAGGUGCACAAAGUGACAAAAGAGCUUGGGGGUACAAAAAGAAACAUCUCCAGUGAGAUAACAGAAGUAAUAAAAUCUGUGUGGAAAAUGGAGAAGACGUGAUUAGACUGAUGUUACAAUACUAAAUAAGGGAACUUAACCAUUCCUGACAACUAUAGAGGCAUAUCCCUGAUAUAUGUGCUAUCCAAAAUAUUUUGCAGAAUAAUGGCAAAAUAAGAAACGAAAUCAAUAACAAAUUAAGAACAGAACAAUCAGGUUUUAGAAGAGGAAGAGAAACAUCUGAACAAAGGUACACCUUGCGAGACAUAUCAGAGCCAAAGCGGUUAAGCCCGUUAUGACCCGAAACUCCUCGUAACCAUAGAACACUACACAUAAUGAGGAGCUGCGCUGACAAGAACAGAACAGACGUAAUGAGUAAUACAAACAUUAGAAAAAGAGGAAUCUUCUGAACUUUUAUGUCAACCCUACAACACUUAUGCUUUGCCGAUGACCUGAUACUAAUGUCCAUCAAGAUCUGCGACUUUUAAGACGAAUCUUCACCACUGCAUUGAGAUUGAUUGAUUGUUUUACGUCUCGACGAGAAUUUGUCAUUCAUAUCGAGACGUCACCAACUGUAGGUGAAGUACCCCAAAUUUCGACCUAUUACUAGCGCUUAGGGCCGUAGCAGUGCGGGUUCUUUAUCGUGCUAACGCCUGCCGCGACACGGGACCUCCGUUUUUAAGGUCAUUUCAGAAAGACUCGUGAUUUUCGAGCUUUUAGUGAAAGAGCCAUCACUACGGCGGCCAUGGCACGAGCGGGACUCGAACUCGCGAUUGGCCUUUUUAGAAUCUUUUGAAUGACGAACUACAUGUAUAUCUAAUGUGUGCAAGAUUGAUUGAUUGUAUCUUCUUUAACGUCCCUCUCGAGAAUUUUUCACUCAUAUUGAGACGUCACCAAGACCGAUGAAGGGUUUCAAAUUUAGGUUUAUGCUCAGCGCUUACGGCCAUUGAGCAAUGAGGGUUCUUAAGCGUGCCACACCUACUGUGACACGGGACAUCUGCUAUUAAGGUCAUCUCCAAGACCCGUGACAUUCACACCUAAUGCCGAGCGUUUAGCGAUGGAACUGUCACUACCUAUAUUAACGACUUAGGUCUGUCGCGGCCGGGAUUCGAAUCUCGACCUUCCGCAUGCAGGACAAACGCUCCACCUCUAGACCACCGCGGCGGUAAUGUGUGUAAGAGAUUGGACCCAAUCACGUAUGAUAGCUACGUAAGGACGAUGAUUAGAUUGGAUGUAGCAGCCAAUUUCGAAAUUUAAUUUUUUGCGCCAAAAUGUACACGUUAUCAGCGUGUUUCGUCAUAGUUUUAAGGGCACAUAUAUUUUUUGUGUACAAGCACAAGCUCGCUGGGAAGAAUGUGGUUAUGUUCCCGUAUCGGUGGACAUUUGUACUGAACUGCUGUUAUAUACCUAGAGAAACUACUUAUUCGGUAAGACAAUGAACAUUUGCACAUUCCAUACAUUUGUUUGAAAACGUGUAUUUACAGUAUAUUCUAUGAGUAAACACGUGUACUUAGUUCAUGUCCCGAAUAUUUAUGCAAACUAUUUUCACAGAAAAGACAAUGUAUAGAUAUUAUUUGCACAUCAGGUGCAAAUUGGUUGCACUCAAACUUUUGGCAACUUCAGGGGGCAAUAACUCUGUUUUGUUGUGCACUACAGAUGCUCUAAAUUAUUUUCAUAAACAGCAAUUUUCUGUAUUGAAAUCAAUCUUUUGAUAGUUCGAAUUAUUAUUAUAUAUGAUCACAUAUGUGUUGGCAGUAUCAAUUCAUUGUUUACAAUUAUUUUGUUUUAUUACAGUAUGAAAGGUGAAGAUAACGAACAGUGAUCAAUCUCAUAACUCCUAUAAGCAAUACAAAAUAGAUAGUUGGGCAAACACGGACCCCUGGACACACCAGAGGUGAGAUCAGGUGCCUUGAAGGAGUAGACAUCCCCUGUAUAUCGUAUGAAGUUGAGGAAAGUUACAUGAUGUCAAUUAUUGACUUAAUAAAUAUCCAGGCAUACGCAUAGACAAGUUAUGUUUCAAAUUAUUUCAAACAGUGGGCAGUACAAGGAUGUGCCAUAAUCUUAAAGGAGACCACACCAAGCUAUCUAAAAUGCAAUCCUGAAGAAAAGCAUAGAAACACCUCAUUGCGUAACAUGAGAAAGAAAGGGGUGAUUUAGGAUUGUCAGUCACAGAACUGGCAAAAAUAACAAUGCGGCAUCAUACCUUCUCAAGGACAAGGAGAAGAUCAAUAAAUAAAGUUACAAACAUUCAUAAGAUACAGAAGAAAUUUCUUCAUUUUCAUAAUUUGUAAAUUUCAAUUUUGAAUU